GCGGGAGUAGUUCAGCGGUAGAAUACAACCUUGCCAAGGUUGGGGUCGUGGGUUCGAAUCCCAUCUCCCGCU
rnacentral:tRNA from 1 species